rnacentral:rRNA from 1 species
CAUUUGGCGUGGGCGCAAGCCUGACCGCCUGCCGCGUGAGUGACGAAGGCCUUAGGGUUGUAAAGCUCUUUUGGCGGGGAAGAUAAUGACGGUACCCGCAGAAUAAGCUCCGGCUAACUUCGUGCCAGCAGCCGCGGUAAUACGAAGGGAGCUAGCGUUGUUCGGAAUCACUGGGCGUAAAGCGCACGUAGGCGGAUGUGUCAGUCAGGGGUGAAAUCCCGGAGCUCAACUUCGGAACUGCCCUUGAUACAGCACGUCUCGAGUCCGAGAGAGGUGAGUGGAAUUCCUAGUGUAGAGGUGAAAUUCGUAGAUAUUAGGAAGAACACCAGUGGCGAAGGCGGCUCACUGGCUCGGUACUGACGCUGAGGUGCGAAAG